UACGGGGGGGGCAAGCGUUGUUCGGAAUUACUGGGCGUAAAGGGCUCGUAGGUGGCCAACUAAGUCAGACGUGAAAUCCCUCGGCUUAACCGGGGAACUGCAUCUGAUACUGGAUGGCUUGAGAUUGGGAGAGGGAUGCGGAAUUCCAGGUGUAGCGGUGAAAUGCGUAGAUAUCGGGAGGAACACCAAUGGCGAAGGCAGCUUGCUGGGACGGUACUGACGCUGAGACGCGAAAGCGUGGGGAGCAAACAGG
rnacentral:rRNA from 1 species